rnacentral:rRNA from 1 species
UACGUAGGGUGCGAGCGUUGCCCGGAAUUAUUGGGCGUAAAGCGCUCGUAGGCGGUGUGUCACGUCGGCCGUGAAAACCUGCAGCUUAACUGUGGGCGUGCGGUCGAUACGGGCAUCACUGGAGUUCGGCAGGGGAGACUGGAAUUCCUGGUGUAGCGGUGAAAUGCGCAGAUAUCAGGAGGAACACCGGUGGCGAAGGCGGGUCUCUGGGCCGAUACUGACGCUGAGGAGCGAAAGCGUGGGGAGCAAACAGG